GACAAUAUUUGCUAACGUCAGGCUUAGGCUGUUACAAAGUAAAAACAAAAUUAAAUUGGUUAAGAUAUAUUUCUUCGAUCAAGAUAUCAGAGGAUUAAAUCACCGUAUCGCCAAAUGACGAU